UACGUAGGGUGCGAGCGUUAAUCGGAAUUACUGGGCGUAAAGCGUGCGCAGGCGGUGAGCUGUGUCCGAUGUGAAAGCUCCGGGCUUAACCUGGGAAUGGCAUUGGAAACUGGCUCGCUGGAGUGUGGCAGAGGGGGGGUGGAAUUCCGCGUGUAGCAGUGAAAUGCGUAGAUAUCGAGAGGAACACCGGUGGCGAAGGCGGCCAACUGGACGAAUACUGACGCUGAGACUCGAAAGCGUGGGGGAGCAAACAGG
rnacentral:rRNA from 1 species